UACGGCCAUACCACUCUGAACGUGCCUGAGCUCAUCUGAUCUCAGGAGCUGAGCAGGGUCAGGCCUGGUUAGUACUUGGAUGGAAAAGCAGAAGAUAAUUAAGGAAAGGCCAAGC
rnacentral:rRNA from 1 species